AGCAACAAAUGCCCUGCUUCCAGGAAAAGCCUCUAAGCAUCAGGUAACAUCAAAUCGUACCCCAAACCGACACAGGUGGUCAGGUAGAGAAUACCAAGGCGCUUGAGAGAACUCGGGUGAAGGAACUAGGCAAAAUGGUGCCGUAACUUCGGGAGAAGGCACGCUGACACGUAGGUGAAGUGAUUUACUCAUGGAGCUGAAGUCAGUCGAAGAUACCAGCUGGCUGCAACUGUUUAUUAAAAACACAGCACUGUGCAAACACGAAAGUGGACGUAUACGGUGUGACGCCUGCCCGGUGCCGGAAGGUUAAUUGAUGGGGUCAGCGCAAGCGAAGCUCCUGAUCGAAGCCCCGGUAAACGGCGGCCGUAA
rnacentral:rRNA from 1 species